CCUACGGGCGGCAGCAGUGAGGAAUAUUGGUCAAUGGGCGCGAGCCUGAACCAGCCACGUAGCGUGAAGGAUGACUGCCCUACGGGUUGUAAACUUCUUUUAUAAAGGAAUAAAGUGAGGCACGUGUGCCAUUUUGUAUGUACUUUAUGAAUAAGGAUCGGCUAACUCCGUGACAGCAGCCGCGGUAAUACGGAGGGUCCGAGCGUUAUCCGGAUUUAUUGGGUUUAAAGGGAGCGUAGAUGGGGUGGUAAGUCAGUUGUGAAAGUUUGCGGCUCAACCGUAAAAUUGCAAUUGAUACUGGCAGCCUUGAGUACAGGUGAGGUAGGCGGAAUUCGUGGUGUAGCGGUGAAAUGCUUAGAUAUCACGAAGAACUCCGAUUGCGAAGGCAGCUUACUAAACUGCCACUGACAUUGAGGCUCGAAAGUGUGGGUAGCAAACAGGAUUAGAUACCCGAGUAGUC
rnacentral:rRNA from 1 species